CGGAGCAGGGCGCUGGCUGCGCUGCCUGCGGGUGUUUUCCGUUGCGCUUCCCGGCGCGGGACCUUAGCUCCAGCAAGGUACCUGGAGUGCGAGCUCCUCCUGCUCCGCGCGCACCACGAGGACUUGUCGGAGCUGGAGGCGCUGCCGCAGGCCUGGCAGAGGCUGUUGGAGCGCCACAACCCGGACGUCGUGGAAGACACUCUGCUGAAGGCCUCGCUCUUCCUGGAGACUGGGUGAGAGCUGUGUCCUCGCACUAACCAGCCGGCAGAGAGGACAGCAGGGACCUCGGAGCAAAUCUACCGAAGCGCCCAGGCCCAGACUUUGCGGCGAGCAGAGGGAGCCUGGCCGCGGGUCGGUGGAGAGCAGGGCGCACCCUGCUCUGAGCUGUGUUUUAGGAGGCUCUUGCUGAGUGGGAUGAGCCUGUCUGACGGCUGAGGGGUGUGCAGGCCCUGUUGCAUCAGCGGUCUUGUUCUUGGAGGCCAGAUGAAGGAGGACAUGGGAGGAAGGUUAUCUUUGGUCCCGGGAGACCCGGUAAUACCUGCUCUGACAGGUGUCUUGGAUAUUAAAGGCAAAACAGUGCGCAUGGAAAAAAA